GGGGACUCGAUGAGGAGAAAGUGACGCGGAGGCAAAGACCUGGGCGCCGCAGCAGCGAGUGGGGGAGGGGAGGGCGCGUGGUCCGAAUCCCUGCGCGCAAUGAGGCGGCUGCCCGGGCUUUGUGAGGCGGCAGCGCGACGCCGGGUGGCCCAGCAGCGGGCGGGUGCCGGGGGCGGAAGCGCGGCCACAAGAGGGGGCGAUUCACCGCCGCCCCCCGUGGGACCUGGGUCCUCUACGCGGGACCGCAGGGGCCCCGAGUCGCGGGUUGGGCAAGGUCGCCCGCUCCGGGUCGCUCGGAAGGGUCAUUUCACGGACCGGUCGUCUGGGGCCAGUGCGUCUUGCCCCGCACGGAAGACCCCUCGCUUCGAGGACAGGAAAGCUUUUAAAGCAUCUGUUAAUUCAGCAAGCACUAACAAGUGAUGGAGAUUAAAAAAAAAAAAGGAAUGAGCCACAGCUUUGCCAUCAAAGACUUCAGCGUCUCUUAGGGGAAACAGAUGAACAAAGAUUUCUAACAAGAGAGAGAAUAUCUUCCCGAUUCGACUCCCAUAUGUCAAGAGACUCAGAUGUGACUCAUAUUUGCCUGCCAGGAGGAGGAAAAAGAAAUACACUGUCCAGGAGCAACUCCUUAGUGGGUACCCACCAGAAGUGGUCUCCAAACAAGGGUCUCGCUGAUCCCAAAGAUGAAGAGACAAAACCGGCCUUGCUUGCCCCCAAGGUGAGACUUCGGAUCUGUGGUGAGGGAGGGAAAAAUUCCAGCAGACCCAAGAGGAAGGCUACAGAAGAAAGGACAGAAGCGUGGAGAGAAAUUCUAAGCAGGAGGCUGGGGAAGAAGGAAGAGCUUCAGGUCACUGGGUCACCCCACCAGGAGAUAGUCCCCUUGUGGCCUUGAGACUUAUGCAAUGGGCAGAUGCAAUCUGGGUACCUAAGGCAAGGAUUGCCCUUAUUCUGGCCAUGACAUUUAACACCUAAUUGCAGCAAUAACCCCUCUUUUCCACCUGGAGAAAGCUUCCUGGCCCCUCUUUUUCACUUGUGGGUAAGUCUGGCCAAGAGCAGGGUGAAGAAACCCAUAGUCUAACACAGCUGUUCCAAGCUCUGAGGAUGAAGAAGUGGGAAGAGGAGACAAGUCCCUCCAAUCUAGUCGGGAAGGUGUAUUCUCACUGUUUCACCUCAGGCUGUUCUCAAGUGUGUCUGAUCCAUAAUAGGAACACAGUGUUCAUGCAUUCAUGCUGGUCUUGCUUGGAAAAAGAUCAUCUUUCUUGGUUUUUUGGCUAUAACAAAUAGUUUGUAUUAAUAGUAGCCAAAUUUUUAACUUUCCAUCAAAAUAUGCCAUGUCCAAUUUUGUCCAUAAUUAUGUUAACUCAGGAGCUCAAAAUUGUGCCAUAUUUAUCCAAGAGAAAUAAAAACAUAUUCACAAAAAAACCUCUUUGUACCAGAAUGUAGUGUUCAUUGCAGCUUUAUUUCUAAUAGCCAAAAAAAAAAAAAAAAACACCCCAGCCGAGAUAUCCAUCAAUAGGAGAAUGGAUAAACAAGUUGUGGCAUAUUCACCAAUGAAAAGGAAUGAGCCACUGAUGCAAGCAAAUGGCAUAAGUGAGUCUCAGAAACAUUCUUCUGAGUGAAAGAAGAGUACACACUGCAUCAUGAUUCCAUCUAUAUGCAGACCCGACUAGAACAGGCACAACUAAUCUAUGGUGGGAAAACGUGAAGCCACAAGGGAUGGGGGCAAGAAUCGAGUGGGUAGGGGCAUGGGAGACCUUCUGAGGGUGAUGGCAGU
rnacentral:lncRNA from 1 species